GAUGAACGCUGGCGGCGUGCCUAAUACAUGCAAGUCGAGCGAACGGACGAGAAGCUUGCUUCUCUGAUGUUAGCGGCGGACGGGUGAGUAACACGUGGAUAACCUACCUAUAAGACUGGGAUAACUUCGGGAAACCGGAGCUAAUACCGGAUAAUAUUUUGAACCGCAUGGUUCAAAAGUGAAAGACGGUCUUGCUGUCACUGAUAGAUGGAUCCGCGCUGCAUUAGCUAGUUGGUAAGGUAACGGCUUACCAAGGCAACGAUGCAUAGCCGACCUGAGAGGGUGAUCGGCCACACUGGAACUGAGACACGGGCCAGACUCCUACGGGAGGCAGCCGUAGGGAAUCUUCCGCAAUGGGCGAAAGCCUGACGGAGCAACGCCGCGUGAGUGAUGAAGGUCUUCGGAUCGUAAAACUCUGUUAUUAGGGAAGAACAUAUGUGUAAGUAACUGUGCACAUCUUGACGGUACCUAAUCAGAAAGCCACGGCUAACUACGUG
rnacentral:rRNA from 1 species